UGGCUUUGCAUCUUCUAACAAGAAAAAACUAUUAGGCUUUUACGAUUCGGUUGCGCUUCUAGUUCUUAUACUCAAUCAUACACAUGACAUUUAGUCAUAUUUGACUCCAAAACACUAACCAAGCUUCUUCUUGGUUCUCAACGCUUUGAUGGUGUAGUUGAAGUCCAUAUGAGUCUUUGGCUUUCUAUCUUCU
rnacentral:sRNA from 1 species